CUCCGUCGUCGGUGCCAGUCGGGUCCAUCUCCCACCCGUGUCUACCACACCUAGUGUUGCUUUGGCGGGCCCACUCCUCCGGUGUUCCGCCGGGGGGGUCGUCCCGGGGCGCGGUGUGCCCCCGGGGCCCGUGCCCGCCAGAGGCACUCACUGUGAACGCUUUUGUGAAUGCGAGGAUUGUCUGAGUGACGAAAUGCAAUCGUUCAAAACUUUCAACAAUGGAUCUCUUGGUUCCGGCAUCGAUGAAGAACGCAGCGAAAUGCGAUAAGUAAUGUGAAUUGCAGAAUUCCGUGAAUCAUCGAAUCUUUGAACGCACAUUGCGCCCUCUGGUAUUCCGGGGGGCAUGCCUGUCCGAGCGUCAUUGCGAACCCUCAAGCACGGCUUGUGUGUUGGGCCGCCGUCCCCUCGUUUGGAGGGGACGGGCCUGAAAGGCAGCGGCGGCGUCGCGUCCGGUCCUCGAGCGUAUGGGGCUCUGUCACGCGCUCAAGGAGGGGUCCGGCCGGGGCCAUAGCCUCUGAAGGUCAAUUCUUCCAAGGUUGACCUCGGAUCAGGUAGGAGUACCCGCUGAACUUAAGCAUAUCAAUAAGGCGGAG
rnacentral:rRNA from 1 species